rnacentral:rRNA from 1 species
GACGAACGCUGGCGGCGUGCUUAACACAUGCAAGUCGAACGAAGUGGCGCACGGGUGAGUAACGCGUAAUUAACCUGCCCUUCAGCGGGGUACAACAGUUGGAAACGACUGCUAAUACCGCAUACUGAAGGAGGGGAUUGCGUCUGAUUAGCUAGGUGGAGGGGUAACGGCCUACCAAGGCGAUGCUCAGUAGCCGGGCGGGGAUGAUGUACGGACACAUGGGGAGUGAGACACGGCCCAGACUCCUACGGGAGGCAGCAGUGGGGAAGCUUCCGCAAUGGACGAAAGUCUGACGGAGCAACGCCGCGUGAGUGAGGACGGCCUUCGGGUUGUAAAGGUCUGUUAAUCGGGACGCGGUACCGGAAUAGAAAGCCACGGCUAACUACGGGCCAGCAGCCGCGGUAAUAC